GGCUGGUAUGUGUGCACUGGUGUUUACAAUUCAUUGAUCACAGCCAAUUACGGAGUUCUUUGUUCCUUCUCUCACACUGCUACACUUGACUAGCCUAAA
rnacentral:Y_RNA from 1 species